rnacentral:rRNA from 1 species
AACGCGAAAAACCUUACCCACCUUUGACAUGGCAGGAACUUACCAGAGAUGGUUUGGUGCUCGCCAGAGAACCUGCACACAGGUGCUGCAUGGCUGUCGUCAGCUCGUGUCGUGAGAUGUUGGGUUAAGUCCCGCAACGAGCGCAACCCUUGCCAUUAGUUGCUACAUUCAGUUGAGCACUCUAAUUUGACUGCCGGUGACAAACCGGAGGAAGGUGGGGAUGACGUCAAGUCCUCAUGGCCCUUAUAGGUGGGGCUACACACGUCAUACAAUGGCUGGUACAAAGGGUUGCCAACCCGCGAGCCGGAGCUAAUCCCAUAAAGCCAGUCGUAGUCCGGAUCGCAGUCUGCAACUCGACUGCGUGAAGUCGGAAUCGCUAGUAAUCGUGGAUCAGAAUGUCACGGUGCUUACGUUCCCGGGUCUUGU